GCGGUGGUAGCUCAGUUGGUAGAGCAUCAGCCUUCCAAGCUGAGGGUCGCGGGUUCGAUCCCCGUCCGCCGCU
rnacentral:tRNA from 1 species